rnacentral:sRNA from 1 species
GACAGAGGAAGGCAGUUUAAUUCCGCGACAUCCUGUUGCAAUAGCUGCAUGACCCACGUCGUGUGGG